rnacentral:rRNA from 1 species
AUCCUGGCUCAGAUUGAACGCUGGCGGCAGGCCUAACACAUGCAAGUCGAACGGUAACAGGAAGAAGCUUGCUUCUUGCUGACGAGUGGCGGACGGGUGAGUAAUGUCUGGGAAACUGCCUGAUGGAGGGGGAUAACUACUGGAAACGGUAGCUAAUACCGCAUAACGUCGCAAGACCAAAGAGGGGGACCUUCGGGCCUCUUGCCAUCGGAUGUGCCCAGAUGGGAUUAGCUAGUAGGUGGGGUAACGGCUCACCUAGGCGACGAUCCCUAGCUGGUCUGAGAGGAUGACCAGCCACACUGGAACUGAGGCACGGUCCAGACUCCUACGGGAGGCAGCAGUGGGGAAUAUUGCACAAUGGGCGCAAGCCUGAUGCAGCCAUGCCGCGUUGUAUGAAGAAGGCCUUCGGGUUGUAAAGUACUUUCAGCGGGGAGGAAGGGAAUAAAGUUAAUACCUUUGCUCAUUGACGUUACCCGCAGAAGAAGCACCGGCUAACUCCGUGCCAGCCGCAGC